CGCAACACCUAAGAGCGAUCCGGGGCCUUGAAGCUUUCUUUUCCGCCGGGCUACCGACGUGGCAAGUCCUCGCAGCGGCAUCCGCCAUGUGACCCAUGCGGCCCCUGCGGCAGCGCCUGUGGGCCCCUGUCGCCGGGCUUUUCAAGGUGCUACAGAGCCUAUGAGUUGAAGAUGAGUGAAGGUUGUCAUGAAUGUUUUCCAAGAACUUAAGAUGACUGAACUGCUAGGAGCACAACUGUGUGUCACAAGGUAGCGGCAGAUGAAUGUUCAAGUCCUUAGCUGUGGUUUAAAAAGUCACUGCCUCAGAGGUGGCACGUAACAUUUUGGAAGGAAAAAUGAAUUGGUCAAGAAGGCAUGAAUUUGAGCAAAUGAUGAAAAUUAAUAUUUUAUUAAACAUGGAUCACAAAUUAUGUGGAAAAUAACAUGUUUGAAUACUUUCAAUUGCUGAGCAAUAAAAUGUUUUUAAAAUAUA